rnacentral:rRNA from 1 species
UACAGAGGGUGCAAGCGUUAAUCGGAGUUACUGGGCGUAAAGGGCGCGUAGGCGGUUUACCAAGUGAGAUGUGAAAUCCCCGGGCUUAACCCGGGAAUGGCAUUGGAUACUGCAGAUCUGGAGGAUCGGAGGGGGGACUGGAAUUCUUGGUGUAGCAGUGAAAUGCGUAGAUAUCAAGAGGAACACCAGUGGCGAAGGCGAGUCCCUGGACGAUACCUGACACUGAGGCACGAAAGCUAGGGGAGCAAACAGG